GCGUGAAACUCGAUAUGUUUUUGUCUAGAUAGGUACUAGUGUGUAGACAGAUCCCUAAUUUUUUAUAGGUUUUUGUAUAUGCUAACGCCAAUUAAACUCAGCGGUUGGCCGCAUGGUGCAGCACUAGUCCAGGAACAACCAGGUUCAUAAGCGUGCGCACACCCAUUUCCUCCCUUCUAGUAUCGGCCAGUACGGGCAGAAUCACAGAUCCUUCGUUAUUCGAUGUUUCGUUAUGGAAUUCCCGCUGGAUCGACACUCUCUUCAAAUGACGCACGAUUUAUGGACGUGGAUCGAGACGAGGAUCGGAGCAAAAAGCCGGCCGAAAAAUCCAGGCACCCUCGCGAAGACGAUAACGGUCGACCACUUGUACGUUGACACACACACACACCACCCAACGGUCGACGUGCAUAACGAUAGUUUAUUCGUAUUUGCGUAUUGUGUUCUGUAAGCUACAAAACUUGUAUGUAAGCUAUAAAGGUAUUUUAAUAGAUUUUAACAAAUUAGAUCAAUGUAGAUAUUAUUUAGAAAAAAAAGAGACAAAGAAAGACGAUGUUUAAACUCGGAAUAAUAUACUCACGAAUUAAUAAGCACGGAUAAUAUGUCAUAAAGGAUGGUACCGAACAUAAUGAUAUCGUAAUGAAAAUUUUUGAAAGCAACGAAAGAUGUUGUUGCUUCGGUUAAAAAUAUUAUUAGAGAAAUGAAAACAGCGUGAAUCAUCUGGCCAUCUAUGAAGAAUGUAUUCGAGUAUUUUAAUUUUGAAAUUUAAUUUCUAAAAUACGUACAUGGUUGUUACGUAUUAUUUGUGGCCGGAAGAACGAAAGAUAGAUCGGGAUGGAUAGGGAGUUGAUGAUUCCCACACAAAGGUGAACGCCGAUCGUUGCGUUCGCGUGAUUGUCCGUUGUCAACCUCGUGGUCACGACGUUUCACGUGUGAAACGAGUCAUGAAACGAACGAAUCUCAGAAGCAUGUGCCAUGCUCAGGGCACGCUGCCAGAAAUUCGUUGCACUGCGAUAGUUGGCAGAUUUCGUGGCGAUAAUGGCGCGUUUCCUCUCCUCUGCUAAACUUAUCGGACAACGGCCGCGUUUCAAUACCGAUGGUUUUAACUUGCAGUAAAAUAUUCGAAAAUAGAACUAACAAGCACGCAGCGCUUUGGAAAAUUGACGAGUAAAUAAAGCUAAUAGAGACGAGACAUUCUAUGUCAUACUAAAUGAUGUUCACUUCUAUCAAACGCAUUACCGCCCCACUGCGAGUAAAUGGGUAGGUACUUGCGAACAUUUCGCUCAGAAGAGAAUUAAACUAACGAGUAAAUUAAACGUUGAUUUUAUGAUUAUCGUAGAUCCCCUCGAUAAUUCAGCCUGCGAGAGCACAACACAAGUAAUAAUCGCCAUAGUAAUCGUAAUUGUUCGAUGACGUCUUUCGUUAUUGUUUUGACAUUGAGGCUUGUCGA
rnacentral:misc_RNA from 1 species